AGUUCAAAUAUUGUCUACAUAAAACAAUGAAAUAUAGAUAUUAUUAUUUAAUUUUAUGACUAAAGUUUGUACGUUCUAUCAUUUGAUUCUUAGGUCACAGUUUUUACUCCCCGGGUGUUUUAUCAUGAUCUAUGGAUGAUUAAACAUAUUUAGUGUUGAGUGCGAAUAAAACAUUAUAUGUCACAUAACAACUCUUAUAACUAAAAGCUGUCAAUUAACUCCCCAAAAAGGAAAAUAUCAACAUAUUCUGGAUUCUCUAAUAGUUUUGUGUUAUUUGACCAAAUAUAUCCAGGUUCAUCGAUAAUUCGCUAUUUCCGAACUUGUCCCACGUGAUAAUAUUCAUCAAACUUAAGGUCAAAGCAAUUUAAUAUGGUUUAAUAUUUUAAAACAUUUUGAAUAUCUAUGUAAUAUACAAUAGCAUUUUGGGUAGCUUAUUAAUUUACUGGACAUGCUUUUUUGUUUUCUGGUAUACAUUUAUGCGCUUGCGCCGAAUAAAACAUAAAAACAGUCUCUCAAUUGACAGAAUUAGUCCAACAAAAUUUUUCCUAUUGAUUACCAUGUGUUAUAAUAUUAUGUUCAGUUACAGUUACUUCCCUGGAAAAGAAAUUGCUGUCCCAGAAAUUACUCAGAGUUAAUUCAGAAUAAUUGUGAAAAACACAGGGUGCUUAUAUCUCGGAAUUGUAUGUAGCAAUUGUUAUGGAACUAUACAAUAAUGUUAACCAGCAUGUGCAGAUUUGCAAUCGGGGUAUGGCAUUUCCAAGAUGGCCACCGUUUCUAUGGAAACAGCAAAAAUGUAAAAAAAAAUCGAUUUGCUUCAAAGAUAAUGAAACUUCACACAAAUAUUGACUGGCAUUUGUAGAGGUGCCAUUUGACUUUGGAAUUUUCAAAAUGGCUACCGUUAUCAUGGAAACAGCAAAAUUUUUCAAAAUUUCAAACUGAAAUUUGACUUUGGAAUUUUCAGAAUGGCCGCCGUUACCACGGAAAGAGUAAUAAUGUAGACAAAUGAAAAAUGCUCCAAAUUUCAUGAAAAUUUACAGAUAGAAGUUUAGUAGUGUAUAUAAAUGUGCAUUCACUGUUUAAAAUUUUUCAAAAUGUCUACAGUUUAGUGGCAAUUUGGCGGACGUGAGUGCCAUCCGCUAUUGCUAGCAAUUGCAAAUCUAGUUUUUAUCAUUAUUUUUCUUCCACAUAUUUUUGUCCGCUCUAGACCUCGCAAUUGAUUGGACGCAAGUUGAUGGAACUAUACAAUAAUGUUAACCACCAUUGGGGGUUUGCAUUUUCAAGAUGGCUGCCAUUGCCAUGAAAAUAGCAAAAAUGCAAAAAAAGGAAGGUGUUCCAAACUUAAUGAAACUUUACAGAAAUGGUAACUGGCAUUUGUAGAGUUGCAGUGUGACUUUGGAAUUUUCAAAAUGGCUGCCGUUACCAUGGAAACAGAAAAAUUGUUCAAAAUUUCAAAAUGCUCCAAACUAAAUAAAAAUUUACAAAAAUGUUAAUUGGCUGCGCUGUGUGACUUUGGAAUUUAUAGUUCAAACUACGUUUAGUUUUGACGGCAGAUCGUCUGUAGUUCAAACUGCUUUUAUAAGACAAAGUGUGUAGUUUUGAUGGAAGAUCUACUGUAGUUCAAACUACUUUUACAAGACAAAGUGUUGAGAUUUGUUGGAAGAUCUUCUGUAGUUCAAACUACUUUUACAAGACAAAGUGUUGAGAUUUGUUGGAAGAUCUUCUGUAGUUCAAACUACUAUUAAUUGACAAAGUGUCAGGUUUUUUGACAGAUCUUCUAUAGCCAAACUACUUCUAAGAGACUAUGUGUUUAGAUUUGAUUCAGAAAAUGGCAGAUGUUAUGUUUAAAUAGAGCAGAUAGAGAGGAUGUCAGAAAUGUGAAAAUUGAGCAGAUUUAGAUGAUGACAGAUUAUAUAUGAACAUUGAGUAGAUUUAGAUGUUGACAUUUAUAUUGAAAUUGAACAGAUUUUGACGAUAAAAUAUGGUAUGUGAACAUUGAGUAGAUUUAGAGGACGACAGAUUACAUAUGAACAUUGAGUAGAUUUAGAGGUUGACAUUUAUAUUGAAAUUGAACAGAUUUUUUGUAUGUGUAUAUUGAGUAGAUUUAGAAGAUGACCUCUGGUUUGUAAAUAUUGAGUAGAUUUAGAGGAUGACAUCUGGUUUGUAGAUAUUGAGUAGAUUUAGAGGAUGACAUCUGGUUUGUAGAUAUUGAGUAGAUUUAGAGGAUGACAUCUGGUUUGUAGAUAUUGAGUAGAUUUAGAGGAUGACAUCUGGUUUGUAGAUAUUGAGUAGAUUUAGAGGAGGACAUAUAUAUUGAAAUUGAGGAGAUUUUGACGAUUACAGGUGAUAUGUGAAUAUUGUGUAGAUUUAGAGGAUGCCAUGAUAUGUGCAUUUGUGUAAUAACUAGGGAUGUCAACUCGGUGAAGAUUUACUAAUCGAGUACUCGUUAGAUUUACCGAGCGAUACUCGAGUACUCGCUCGGAAAACAUCUACAAAAUGGAAACACAAAAUUAUACCCAUUUUACCUAUUGUGGGUCGUUCGUUGUCUUAUAUAUGGACGUAAAACCCUCAACAUUAUUACAUAGGACUAGAUAAUAGUCCCAGGAAUGUAUACCAUAAUUAAUAGCUCAUUUACUACAUGCACUAAUUGUGUAAACUGACAAUAAUCUAAUCAAUUAAUUAAUAAACAUCUAUAGAAAACUGUAAACUCAAACAACAGUAUUUGUGAAUCGUAUAAAAACACAUUUAGUGAUCAACAAAGGGGUAAUGAUAAGGACUAAGUCUUACUGAUGGUUUUAACCAUUCUCUGAGGGUCGACACAGGGUGCAACGAAUUUGUUCUUAUUUCGAAAUAUGAUCUUUUCAACUUUUUCUGGGACGAGUCGAUUUUUCGACUUUGUAACGUAACUAUUAAACAGUCCUACCGAUGAAAAUAUUUGCUAUGGCGGUAAAGAGGUGGUGGAAUUACUACGACACGAUUAGCUAAAAGUGUAAGCCUUAGAAAGGUGCUCUUACUCAUAGCCUACCUCUGUUCGACGGGAAUUUUAAAUGACAAUUAAACGCAAACGUUCGAAACGUAUUUUAAUUUUGAUUAAUUUUGAUUAAUAUUUGAUUUCCCGGGAGGCGCUCUUAAUAAAAAUAGUUUUCCUUUAAGAAGGCAACAACAUUCUAACAGAAACCGAUUAGUCGAGUAUCAGUUUGGUAUUCGAUACUCGGUACUACCGAGCGAUACUCGAGUACUCGUUGACAUCCCUAGUAAUAACAGAACAAAAAAUCGUAAAUAUACAAAUAUGAAACGAGUAUGCAUUAACUGAAUAUAAAUACAUUUUAUAAUUUUUACCAAAAACGAAUCCGGGUAGACACAAAAUAUCUACGUGAUAUUUGAUUUCAGUUAAACAUCAGUUGUACGAAAUUAAGGGAGAAAUCUCUGUUUUUGAGAGUUGAAGGCCGUACGGUGACCUUGAGUUGCAAAAAUUCGCUUCAUUUUGGACGCUGCUGGCUAGUUGUAUCAUCGGUAACCAUACCUCAUCUCCUUAUUCUAUACUCAUUUCGUAAAUUGUUUAAGAAAAAGCUUUACUUAGCAUUGUCUCCAAAAAAUUCGUGCUCAAAAGAGUUAGAAUACACAAAGAAUAAAAAAAAAAUGAUAACAGAACUACAUGUAAAUAUCUUUGAAUUUUAUUUUUUAUGUAAUAAAAUGACUCCAAAGUUA